rnacentral:tRNA from 1 species
UCUGUUGUAGUCUAGUUGGUUAGGAUACUCGGCUCUCACCGAGAGACUUGGGUUCAAAUCCCAGCAACGGAA